AACUAGCCCCGAUAGUAGUGAAAAUCCUCUAGUGCUGGGGUUCAGCACUAGAGAUUGUAGCGAAUAGCGGGACAAAAA
rnacentral:sRNA from 1 species